GAUUAGCCAUGCAUGUCUAAGUACAUGCCGUAUUAAGGCGAAACCGCGAAUGGCUCAUUAAAUCAGUCAUGGUUCCUUGGAUCGUACCUUACUACUUGGAUAACUGUGGCAAUUCUAGAGCUAAUACAUGCAGCAGAGCUCCGACCUUCGGGGACGAGCGCUUUUAUUAGACCAAAACCAAUCGGACCUCGUGUCCGUCCUUUGUGGUGACUCUGUAUAACUUUGGGCUGAUCGCACGGGCCUGUCCCGGCGACGUAUCUUUCAAGUGUCUGCCUUAUCAACUUUCGAUGGUAGGUUACGCGCCUACCAUGGUCGUAACGGGUAACGGGGAAUCAGGGUUCGAUUCCGGAGAGGGAGCCUGAGAAACGGCUACCACAUCCAAGGAAGGCAGCAGGCGCGCAAAUUACCCACUCCCAGAACGGGGAGGUAGUGACGAAAAAUAACAAUACGGGACUCUUUUGAGACCCCGUAAUUGGAAUGAGUACACUCUAAAUCCUUUAACGAGGAUCCAUUGGAGGGUAAGUCUGGUGCCAGCAGCCGCGGUAAUUCCAGCUCCAAUAGCGUAUAUUAAAGUUGUUGCGGUUAAAAAGCUCGUAGUUGGAUCUCAGUUCCAGACGGGUGGUCCUCCUACCGGUGGCUACUGCCUGUUCUGAACAGUCAGCCGGUUUCUCUUGAUGAUCUUCACCGGUUGUCUUGGGUGACCGGCAAGUUUACUUUGAAAAAAUUAGAGUGCUCAAAGCAGGCGUGACGCCUGAAUAAUGGUGCAUGGAAUAAUGGAAUAGGACCUCGGUUCUAUUUUGUUGGUUUUCGGAACACGAGGUAAUGAUUAAGAGGGACAGACGGGGGCAUUCGUAUUGCGACGCUAGAGGUGAAAUUCUUGGACCGUCGCAAGACGAACUACUGCGAAAGCAUUUGCCAAGAAUGUUUCCAUUAAUCAAGAACGAAAGUUAGAGGUUCGAAGGCGAUCAGAUACCGCCCUAGUUCUAACCAUAAACGAUGCCAGCCAGCGAUCCGGCUGUGU
rnacentral:rRNA from 1 species